rnacentral:lncRNA from 1 species
CUCUUUCUCCAUGAAUGUCUCUUUUUUCCAAAAAUUAAAAAUUAUAAAGAAUUCCUUCCUCUAAUACGUCUGGCAAGAGCUCAUACAAAGCAUACACAGAUCCAAAAUUCACGAAAAGAUGCAACACAACUUAAAGAUAAAUAGAAGCAUACCGGUCAGAGCUAACACGGCGGCGACAGACAGAGUGAGGGCAGAGGUUCUGACGACAGCGGUGUGCGUCAGAGCUUUUCCGGUGGUUUCUGUUUCGAUCAACCAUUCUGCUUCUGUUUCAGUUUUGUGGACUUGUUGUUGUUUGUGUACUCCAAGAUAAGAUAAUGGUUUAACAGGUUGAGCUUAAUUUUUUUCCAGGAUGAUUCAAUGUUGUUGCUGUAAUUUAUCGCUGAUAAAAAUUGAUUCCCCC